GAUGAACGCUAGCGGCAGGCUUAACACAUGCAAGUCGAGGGGUAACAGAGAGUGCUUGCACUCUGCUGACGACCGGCGCACGGGUGAGUAACGCGUAUGCAACCUACCUUUUACAGGGGAAUAGCCCAGAGAAAUUUGGAUUAAUACCCCAUAUUAUCUUUUUUUCGCAUGAAUUAAAGAUGAAAGUUUCGACGGUAAAAGAUGGGCAUGCGUCCUAUUAGUUUGUUGGUAAGGUAACGGCUUACCAAGACUUCGAUAGGUAGGGGCCCUGAGAGGGGGACCCCCCACACUGGUACUGAGACACGGACCAGACUUCUACGGAAGGCAGCAGUAAGGAAUAUUGGACAAUGGAGGCAACUCUGAUCCAGCCAUGCCGCGUGAAGGAAGACGGCCUUAUGGGUUGUAAACUUCUUUUAUACAGGAAGAAACCUUUCCACGUGUGGAAAGCUGACGGUACUGUAAGAAUAAGGAUCGGCUAACUCCGUGCCAGCCGCCGCAGUAAAAC
rnacentral:rRNA from 1 species